UUCUUAAAAAUCAACUAGGGGCGCCUGGGUGGCUCAGUUGGUUAAGCAUCUGACUUUGGUUCAGGUGAUGAUCUAGCAGUUCCUGUGUUUGAGCCUCACGGGGAUGG